UACAGAGGGUGCGAGCGUUGUUCGGAAUUACUGGGCGUAAAGCGCGCGCAGGCGGCCUUUUAAGUCUCGUGGUGAAAUGCCGGGGCUCAACCCCGUGCCCGCCGGAGAUACUGGGAGGCUGGAGACAUGUAGAGGCAAGCGGAAUUCCAGGUGUAGCGGUGAAAUGCGUAGAUAUCUGGAGGAACACCGGUGGCGAAGGCGGCAUCCUGGACCGGUAUUGACGCUGAUGCGCGAAAGCCAGGGGAG
rnacentral:rRNA from 1 species